rnacentral:other from 1 species
UUAAGACUGCUGUGUGCGCCUAUUUUGGUAGCUGGCCCGAACCGAUAUGAUUGAAACGGGGUCAUUCUUCCGAAGUCGUAUGUCAUGCCUUUUCAGGAAGACGGAAAACAUCGGACGACCCCACUUAUUGAGUUUACGGAACGUGGCUCACAGCGCCAAGGACGGCACAGCGGUUACUUU